CUUGCUUCUCUUGAGAGCGGCGGACGGGUGAGUAAUGCCUAGGAAUCUGCCUGGUAGUGGGGGAUAACGUUCGGAAACGGACGCUAAUACCGCAUACGUCCUACGGGAGAAAGCAGGGGACCUUCGGGCCUUGCGCUAUCAGAUGAGCCUAGGUCGGAUUAGCUAGUUGGUGGGGUAAUGGCUCACCAAGGCGACGAUCCGUAACUGGUCUGAGAGGAUGAUCAGUCACACUGGAACUGAGACACGGUCCAGACUCCUACGGGAGGCAGCAGUGGGGAAUAUUGGACAAUGGGCGAAAGCCUGAUCCAGCCAUGCCGCGUGUGUGAAGAAGGUCUUCGGAUUGUAAAGCACUUUAAGUUGGGAGGAAGGGCAGUUGCCUAAUACGUAACUGUUUUGACGUUACCGACAGAAUAAGCACCGGCUAACUCUGUGCCAGCAGCCGCGGUAAUACAGAGGGUGCAAGCGUUAAUCGGAAUUACUGGGCGUAAAGCGCGCGUAGGUGGUUUGUUAAGUUGGAUGUGAAAUCCCCGGGCUCAACCUGGGAACUGCAUUCAAAACUGACUGACUAGAGUAUGGUAGAGGGUGGUGGAAUUUCCUGUGUAGCGGUGAAAUGCGUAGAUAUAGGAAGGAACACCAGUGGCGAAGGCGACCACCUGGACUAAUACUGACACUGAGGUGCGAAAGCGUGGGGAGCA
rnacentral:rRNA from 1 species